CAUGGUGCCACACAAUGUGCCUGGAGAGAUUGAUGUUUUUGUCAUCCACCUGCUUCAAAGCUGUAAAGAGCCAGCUGAUGCAAACAGAGAAAAAAAAAAAUAGCAAGGCAGGCUGACAAACAAAAGAGGGAGAACCUCACUGCUCCAUCUUUGCGCAUCUGUUUUGGAGGAAUAUCUGAUGUUUCUGUGACGCACACUGGGCUCGAAUGAAGACUCAAUCUGAGUCCUGUCCCUGGGAGUGGUGUAAGUGAAAACGAGGCCUGGAGCCAUGGGCUGGGAGGAGAGAUGGCAGCCAGGAUGGCACACUGACUGGAGGAGCGCCAGCUGCUCUCAUUCAGCAGGUCAAGCAGUGACACAAUUCCACGCCAAUGUGAGUCGCAGUUGUGAGCCAGUACACAGAGAGUCAACAACGACGGGAUGGCGACCGAAAAAAAGCAAAGAAACAAGCCCCUGCUCUAACUGUGGCUGUAAAGCAUUGGUACCCCUAUGGAUAUCUGACCUUCUAGCCUGGCCUCCUGUGAACCUCUUUUACACCAGCUUUGUCUUCCGGAAAGUCCUGCCUUCCUUCGUCUGCUGGAUCUGCUUGUUAUCCAGUUCUACAGACUUCAAGGCUUGAGCUCCUAGAACUCUCUGAGCUGCGUUCAUCACGUGCUGUUGGUAUUCAUUCGGCUGGAUUCCAAUCCUUCCUUUGGGCACAGACUGAACUCUAAGAUCAGGAGCGCUCCAGCUUUGCCCAGCUGACCUGCAGAUUUGAUAUGGAUCAGUGAGGACUCGCUGAGAGAGCGGAGCGUGGAAGAACAUGGAAAGAAAUCACAAUCAGAUCACACAAUUACACUCCGGAUGACUGCAGAUUGGGUGGCAGCUGAAUGGUCUCAGUGAAGGCUGAAAACGAGAGAGAAGGUUUCAGCAGGAAGUUCAUGUCCUGUAAUUUUCAAACAUGUUAAAAGUGAUAUCUUGACAGUUUGAAUAUUUUUUUUUCUUUCAGACCACACUGCGGAGGAGGAAUGGUUGACACUUACCCUGUUAGCACUUAAAGAGAAAAUCAUCUUGUUAAAGUUGUUAGGAUUCUGACCUUUAGCUCAGUAAUUUUAAAAAGUGUUGAACAGAGAAAAGUGAAAAGAAAGGAAAAUUUUAUGUUAAGCGACAUUAGGUCGAUACUCUUCGUAACUGUUCAUUUAUCCUUAAUAGUAUAUUUAUGUUGAGCAACUGAUAAAAUAUAUUAGACAUCUCAGAUACUGCAUUAUUAGAUUAUGUUUAAGGGAGGAUUCUUAGAAUAAUUAAUUUGCAAGCAAUGAUUAAAAAUACAAUAUAAUGUCACUUUUUGAACUCUAACUGUUGGAGGCACUGCUUGUGAUAAAAGUUUAGUAGCAAGUUUGGGAGCUUUAGGCUGGUGUCUGUGGAGAUUCCCAUAGUUUCCUAACAAUUAACAUGGGUAUUUUUAUAGAUUUAAAAAGCAAAUACCAACAUGAAAAAAGCUAACAUAAUAAAACACUAGCAUGAAUAGUUCAUUGUUUCUACUACAGUAGCUUAUAAGUUUCAAGUAACGAAGUAUUACGACUACAACACAGCCAGUAAUGGUGCUCUGUUGAGUUUUAACUCUGAGUUGACUCUCGGCAGAAGAGAUAUGAACAAAAAAGUAUCUUUGAAAAUGAAAUCCUAUGGCUAUUUUGAGUUAUUGUUCACCAGAUAUGAAAAAUGAUUAGAAUUUUAAUACCUUCGUAAAACAUCUGGAUAAUGUUUGGAUUUGGAUGUUUUACAUUUUGAUGUUUGAAUCUGUCUGCCCAGUUACGUUAGUAGCACGGUAACAGAACCUGCCCUCAACCCACCAAUGAAGGUUACCAGAACUCCCAGGAAUGCACUUAUCUACAAAUCUAGAUUUGGGAUUCUCCAAUUUCAGUCUC